rnacentral:rRNA from 1 species
UACGGAGGGGACUAGCGUUGUUCGGAAUUACUGGGCGUACAGCGCACGUAGGCGGAUUUGUAAGUCAGGGGUGAAAUCCCGAGGCUCAACCUCGGAACUGCCUUUGAUACUGCAAAUCUCGAGUCCGGAAGAGGUGAGUGGAAUUCCUAGUGUAGAGGUGAAAUUCGUAGAUAUUAGGAAGAACACCAGUGGCGAAGGCGGCUCACUGGUCCGGUACUGACGCUGAGGUGCGAAAGCGUGGGGAGCAAACAGG